rnacentral:rRNA from 1 species
CUUUAGUUGCCAGCGAGUAAUGUCGGGGACUCUAAAGAAACUGCCUACGCAAGUAGAGAGGAAGGCGGGGACGACGUCAAGUCAUCACGGCCCUUACGUCCUGGGCCACACACGUGCUACAAUGGCGGAGACAAAGAGUCGCAAACCUGCGAAGGCUAGCUAAUCUCAUAAACUUCGUCUAAGUUCGGAUUGUAGGCUGCAACUCGCCUACAUGAAGUUGGAAUCGCUAGUAAUCGUGGAUCAGCAUGCCACGGUGAAUACGUUCCCGGGCCUUGUACACACCGCCCGUCA